rnacentral:sRNA from 1 species
UAUGAAAUUAUUACACCAACUAAAAUAUUUUAAGAUAGAAUGUGAAUCCCCUCAUUUUAGAGAUGUUAAUUAAUUAUUCCCAAAAACAAAAAUUGUCUUUUUACAAAAUGGGGGUGGGGGUAUACUUAAAUGUACCUAUGAUCUGAAUUGGCAAUUCAUAUAUUUUGUAAAAAUCAGUUGUUAGAGUAAUGAAAUAUUUAUAUG